UACUGUUCUCUUUCAUUAAACUAUUUUCGUGAUGAAAAUCUAUAGUCGAAUUCAAAUAAAAAACAACAGAGAAUGUGACCAUGACAACACAUUAAAUAAAAUCAACCUUACUUUUCGUUAAAAUCAUAAAAAUUGAUAGAACAAUUAACC